UUGUUAUUUUUAUGCGCAUUUUUUCACCAUGGCGUUCCGUUUGUCCGCUUCGUGGAAUAUUUUCCGGUUUUAAAACUUUAGCGACAUGUACGAUCGACGCCAGUUGAUUGCGGCCUUAAAGUUCAAUUCCUUACGGGAUCGGGGGCACUGUGCACUGAUCCGGGUAGUUUUUGGCCUGCAUUGUCGACAUGAGAUAAGAAGCAGCUGAUGCCACGAUUUCUGAAGUACGUUACUUGCACUGUAUCGGUCGAUUGUACACUUCCAGAAACGAAUGGGACAUUAAAUCACAACGAUGCGGAAGUAUUAACGGAGAUGGUUGGUAAAGUGCGCAGAGCGACACUAGAUGGGAAAUUUUGUGAUUUCCCGACAUAUACCCAGAAUCAGCAACAUAUGUGUUCUGGAUGUUCCGUUUGUAAAUAAAUAUCCAAAGAACACAUGACAUACCUUGUCAAAAUGUAAACAAAACAGCUCUUGGCGGUAGUGGAGCUUAUUCAACGGAACAUGACAACUAACUGACAAGAUUAUGCUCUUGCUCCUACCAAUGGUGAGUGUGUCGUUCUUGAGCAUAGAUUAAAAAGGCUGCGUGUUCCCGUAUGCGAUGCGCUUGUAGGAAACGAUUUAAACUUUGAGAAAAGAUACUAUGUAAGCAUCUACAGACUUCAAUUUAACUAUGUUAUAAAAAUAUGCAAAUGAAAAAAUGUAUGAAUCACAAUUUUGCUGGAAAUUCAAUUUAACAGUAAAUCCGCUGUAAAAAAAACAAGUAAAAUUGUUGUGAAAACAAUGUAAAUCAACGUUUUGACUUCCAAAAUCUACAACAGAAUAACAUUCUAAAUCGUUGUAAGUGGUUUCAAAAUGUAUGGAAAAAAGCCAAUUUUUUCAUUGUUACAUCGCUUAACGACCGCCCUUUUUCGAUGUAAAAAUUGUAUUUAUAAUGAAAUUGAUUGUAGAAACAACAAAUUUGAUUGUAUAUUCAUUACAUUUUUCAACAUAUCUAAUCUUUUUACAUCGUUUUUCAUUGUAAUGUAACAAUGAAAAUCACUGUAAUUCCGUUAUACAUUUUUAUUCGGGAUGCCCCAAAUAGCUCUUAUGUCAAAACUGAAAGUCAAAAGCUGAUUGACGUUUGAAAGUCAUCGAUUUCAAGGGGCUUAAUGGUUGAUUUCUGUGGCGAUCUAGAAAAAAAAUCAUACUUGGAAACUCAAUCGAACUUAAUUUUUUUUAAUUCAUAUUCUGGAAUGUUUUUGGUGAA